CUGAGCAGCUUCUUGGCCUUGUGUAGCAGUCUGUGAUGCACGACGCACAAAACAAAACCAAAAAAAACCAGCAUCCCUUUAUUCGCUCACAUUACAAGACCUGUGGGUCCUCGGAGCCCCGGGAGAGGAGGAUACAAGUGGCUUUAAAUCUGAGAGCAACCAGUCGCGCACGCAGUCCUGCCAGUCAUCAUCUCUGUGAACAUUUGGAUCUAUUUGCUUUGGGAGUGGAUUGUAAUUGACGUCGAAGUAGUUUUUAUUGCUCUCUGAGGGAUUCUGAAGGGUGAAAAAUGGAGCCCGGUUUGGAGCCAAGGGAUGACAGAGGAAAGAGAACGCCAGAAAGAAACAGUAGAGAGGUGUCGGAUGAUGGUGUAUGUGCAAAUCAUCAGUCAGCAAGAUGCAAGGUUGACCCUGAUCACCUGCUCGGCCUUGUGGGCAUCGUGGGCACAGUGCUCAACCUGCUGGUAGUGGUGUUAGUGUACAUCUACACCCCUGUCUGAUGCAACUACAAACACGCGGAACAGAAGGAUUUACAGCCUGUUGCAAGAGUCCUGUCUUUUGAUAAUGUUUGUGUUACAUUAUUGAUAUUUAGGAGAACAAUUUACUGGUAAUCACUUAUAUAAAGCCGUUGAGAGCAGCUGUAAUUACAGAAGUUCAAUUCCACAAAGUGGCAGAUGUUCGGCGUUCGAUCUUUCUUUGCAAAUUGUGUCUGCAAUGUCACCACUUUAUUUCCAGAUUCAUUAAGAAUUGUAGAGAAUAAUUACACUGCAAUUAUUAGAAAAUCAACAGGAUCAAAGGACAUUGCUUUUAUACUGUAUGGAUGUUUCCUGCUUGCUUGAUGUGGUUUUGUAAACUGAUUUUUGCAAAUAAAUUUGUCUUUGCACACCAACAGAGCAGUAUUCUGGUGUAUAUUUGCAUUUAUUUUUUGAAGCAAAUAUUCAUUUUUUAUAUACACAGGAAGAAAUAACCCAAAUUUUUAUUUAUAACUGCAAGCCUACUUCUUUGACCCAUCACAGAGGACUGGCAAACAGCAGGGAAAGAACAAGGAUGUGCCUCAUAAAAAAAUCAUCAAAUAGUGACAUAAAAACAGUGUUGGAGGGAACAAAUGGAUCAUCUCAAGUUCUAUGUAAAAUAUAAAUCCAAGUGUAACUCUGCAAAUCAAGAAAUGACAGAACUAUCGUAACUCCAUUAA